rnacentral:rRNA from 1 species
GCAGGUUGAAGGUUGGGUAACACUAACUGGAGGACCGAACCGACUAAUGUUGAAAAAUUAGCGGAUGACUUGUGGCUGGGGGUGAAAGGCCAAUCAAACCGGGAGAUAGCUGGUUCUCCCCGAAAGCUAUUUAGGUAGCGCCUCGUGAAUUCAUCUCCGGGGGUAGAGCACUGUUUCGGCAAGGGGGUCAUCCCGACUUACCAACCCGAUGCAAACUGCGAAUACCGGAGAAUGUUAUCACGGGAGACACACGGCGGGUGCUAACGUCCGUCGUGAAGAGGGAAACAACCCAGACCGCCAGCUAAGGUCCCAAAGUCAUGGUUAAGUGGGAAACGAUGUGGGAAGGCCCAGACAGCCAGGAUGUUGGCUUAGAAGCAGCCAUCAUUUAAAGAAAGCGUAAUAGCUCACUGGUCGAGUCGGCCUGCGCGGAAGAUGUAACGGGGCUAAACCAUGCACCGAAGCUGCGGCAGCGACGCUGAUGCGUUGUUGGGUAGGGGAGCGUUCUGUAAGCCUGUGAAGGUGUGCUGUGAGGCAUGCUGGAGGUAUCAGAAGUGCGAAUGCUGACAUAAGUAACGAUAAAGCGGGUGAAAAGCCCGCUCGCCGGAAGACCAAGGGUUCCUGUCCAACGUUAAUCGGGGCAGGGUGAGUCGACCCCUAAGGCGAGGCCGAAAGGCGUAGUCGAUGGGAAACAGGUUAAUAUUCCUGUACUUGGUGUUACUGCGAAGGGGGGACGGAGAAGGCUAUGUUGGCCGGGCGACGGUUGUCCCGGUUUAAGCGUGUAGGCUGGUUUUCCAGGCAAAUCCGGAAAACUAAGGCUGAGGCGUGAUGACGAGGCACUACGGUGCUGAAGCAACAAAUGCCCUGCUUCCAGGAAAAGCCUCUAAGCAUCAGGUAACAUCAAAUCGUACCCCAAACCGACACAGGUGGUCAGGUAGAGAAUACCAAGGCGCUUGAGAGAACUCGGGUGAAGGAACUAGGCAAAAUGGUGCCGUAACUUCGGGAGAAGGCACGCUGAUAUGUAGGUGAAGUCCCUCGCGGAUGGAGCUGAAAUCAGUCGAAGAUACCAGCUGGCUGCAACUGUUUAUUAAAAACACAGCACUGUGCAAACACGAAAGUGGACGUAUACGGUGUGACGCCUGCCCGGUGCCGGAAGGUUAAUUGAUGGGGUCAGCGCAAGCGAAGCUCUUGAUCGAAGCCCCGGUAAACGGCGGCCGUAACUAUAACGGUCCUAAGGUAGCGAAAUUCCUUGUCGGGUAAGUUCCGACCUGCACGAAUGGCGUAAUGAUGGCCAGGCUGUCUCCACCCGAGACUCAGUGAAAUUGAACUCGCUGUGAAGAUGCAGUGUACCCGCGGCAAGACGGAAAGACCCCGUGAACCUUUACUAUAGCUUGACACUGAACAUUGAGCCUUGAUGUGUAGGAUAGGUGGGAGGCUUUGAAGUGUGGACGCCAGUCUGCAUGGAGCCGACCUUGAAAUACCACCCUUUAAUGUUUGAUGUUCUAACGUUGACCCGUAAUCCGGGUUGCGGACAGUGUCUGGUGGGUAGUUUGACUGGGGCGGUCUCCUCCUAAAGAGUAACGGAGGAGCACGAAGGUUGGCUAAUCCUGGUCGGACAUCAGGAGGUUAGUGCAAUGGCAUAAGCCAGCUUGACUGCGAGCGUGACGGCGCGAGCAGGUGCGAAAGCAGGUCAUAGUGAUCCGGUGGUUCUGAAUGGAAGGGCCAUCGCUCAACGGAUAAAAGGUACUCCGGGGAUAACAGGCUGAUACCGCCCAAGAGUUCAUAUCGACGGCGGUGUUUGGCACCUCGAUGUCGGCUCAUCACAUCCUGGGGCUGAAGUAGGUCCCAAGGGUAUGGCUGUUCGCCAUUUAAAGUGGUACGCGAGCUGGGUUUAGAACGUCGUGAGACAGUUCGGUCCCUAUCUGCCGUGGGCGCUGGAGAACUGAGGGGGGCUGCUCCUAGUACGAGAGGACCGGAGUGGACGCAUCACUGGUGUUCGGGUUGUCAUGCCAAUGGCACUGCCCGGUAGCUAAAUGCGGAAGAGAUAAGUGCUGAAAGCAUCUAAGCACGAAACUUGCCCCGAGAUGAGUUCUCCCUGACUCCUUGAGAGUCCUGAAGGAACGUUGAAG